UACGUAGGGUGCAAGCGUUAAUCGGAAUUACUGGGCGUAAAGCGUGCGCAGGCGGUCUGUUAAGACGGAUGUGAAAUCCCCGGGCUCAACCUGGGAACUGCAUUCGUGACUGGCAGGCUAGAGUAUGGCAGAGGGGGGUGGAAUUCCACGUGUAGCAGUGAAAUGCGUAGAGAUGCGGAGGAACACCGAUGGCGAAGGCAGCCCCCUGGGCUGACACUGACGCUCAGGCACGAAAGCGUGGGGAGCAAACAGG
rnacentral:rRNA from 1 species